rnacentral:lncRNA from 1 species
GUAAGGCCCAUUGGUUGGCUUAAGGGUAGUGUGUUCUAUCUGCAAAAGGCGACCUCCCUGAUUAGAUCAUCACAAGUGAUGGGGGAAGGUGGGAAGACUCCAAGAAAAAAAGUAGGUGGUACAGACUGGACAUAAUUGUUAAGAGGAAGAAAGAAGAGAAGGAAUAGAAUCAAACCAGAGAGCCCAGAAAUAUGGAUGGCUUUGAAAGAAAUGCCCCGUGAUUACCUGGAGUCAGAUGGAGCAUCAGCCCAGAAUUCCACAUGAGGAAGUCAUGGGUGCUGGUUUUUUUCACUCUGCACUGCUCCCCAGAAGUUCUCUACAUGAAAGGAUUCAUUUAUUCAGAAUCAACUCUCUUCCCUGUCAAAAUGCAUUAACCAGAACCCUGAAGGUUGAGUGAGGCUGACAGACUCUGACAAUUCCCUCCCAUAGAGACCCCCUUCUGAAGUUGCUGAUCUUCUUUCCCCUUUACCUGCCCCCAUGCUGGAUUCUUGGAUGUGGAUGAUGGGGGAGGUAAUAUGGGAAGAAUUUUAUAUCUUGAGGGAUACUUCUUAUUCUGCGAUUGUAUACUGUGUUUAAAGUCAUUUUAUCUAGGCAGGGGUGAACUACAAAUAGCUUCUCCGUAUCCUUCUGUUCCCUUCUCCUUGC